rnacentral:rRNA from 1 species
UACGGUGGGGGCAAGCGUUGUUCGGAAUUACUGGGCGUAAAGGGUGCGUAGGCGGUGCUCUAAGUCGGAUGUGAAAACUCUGGGCUCAACCCAGAGCCUGCAUCCGAAACUGGAGUGCUAGAGUUCUGGAGGGGGUAGCGGAAUUCCUGGUGUAGCGGUGAAAUGCGUAGAUAUCGGAAAGAACACCGGUGGCGAAGGCGGCUCCCUGGGCUCAUACUGACACUGAGGCGCGAAAGCGUGGGGAGCGAACAGG